rnacentral:tRNA from 1 species
GGCUCAGCUGGUAGAGAGUCUGCCUGCCAAGCAGGAAACCCAGGUUCAAUCCCUGG